UGAGAAAGGAGCACCCAGGGCGCACACACUAAGAACCCCUUGCAUUGGGAGGAGCAAUUCCCUGGAAGGUCUUUCCAAAAAAGGCCAUUGAGUUAGUGCAGCCAGUCAGGUGGUGUCUUCAUUUCCUUUCACAUUUACCCUGAUGUGAAGGGGUCCCCUUGGCUGUUCCUCGCUGGAACACUCGGCUGUGUUGGGCCUGGUCUUCACAGUUCACCCAUUGCUUCUUACUUAAAGACUUGAUCUUAUUUUAAUCAAUUAUUUUAACUUUAUCCAUUGAUCUUUCAUUAGCACACCCAAGGCCAGGCAGACCACAAGCAGCUGACACACAGCCUACACCUCAGGAUGGCUCUGGUAAGUGCCUCUUGAAUUUUAAGGGGAAAUCCACACCGGGUCAACGGCCCAUUGGAGGGGCUCGGUCCAGAUCGCUGGUGUCAGGAAGGCUGAGGACCAGCCUCAAUGUUGGCAGCUGUGCACACAUUCUAAUCCUACAAAUCUCAGUUUUCCAUGGGACCCAGUGAGUCCUUGGCAGAGUGCUCAUCGCCCUCUGGGUCCACAGGGUUGGGUUAUGGGUCUGGACUGCUGGGGGCGGGGGUGGGAUGGGAGCAUGACAGUGGCCUGUGAAGGACCUGGGUCCUUAAUGCCUGGCACAGGUUUGCUGCCUCCUAAUCCACCUCAUUAUUUAGGUGAAUGCUCCUGCCAACUCCAGUGUGUCCUUAGUACAGGGAGGACAUUAGCUGCAAUUUGUAUUCAACCAGAAGGUCGCCUGGGGACAGUCUCCCUCCAAUAUUCCUCAGAAACUCCUCCACAGAGAACCAACCAAGUCCCUGUCAUUUCUCAGGAAUGACAGCCUGGAGCUCCUCCCAUUCCAGAAACAGUCCAUGGCUCCCAAGUCAAAGUCUAAACACCCACCAGGGGCCUGGCUCUGUCCCACUGAGCCCCACAGGCACCUCCUUUAUACUCUCCCGCUCACCCUGACUUCAGUGACUCCCAUUUCCAGAGAGAGCGGGGCACGGGGACUACUGGGACUUCCCGCUGGGAAGGGACCCACCAGGGCUGCCCCGCUGCCCAGGGGGAGAAAUGCUGCAGCCAGCGCUAGUUGAGGAGAAGAAAGCGGGGGAGGCUGGGGACAGGCAAAGUCCCUGCAUGGGUCAGGGCCACGAGGCACAGACAGCAGGAAGUUUGGAAUCAGAAAACGUGGCUUCAAACACCACUUCUGCCCAUGCCUGACCUUGGAAAGAGAGCACUCCCCAGCCCCACCUUUCACCAGGUCGUCCCCUCUGAGCACAGGGUGCACUGCAGGACAGCUUUGCCCAGGGACACCCAAGGAUGGGGGCUCUGGGACUGUGUGUCAGGCAUGGAUUAUUUCCCAUCAAAUAAGAAAGCUCAAAGGGCGUGAGGGACCCCAUUCCCAAGGAAGCCUUUCCGUAUAGAAGAAUUUCAUUUAAAAACUAUUUGUAAAACACCUGCAUCAUUGACAAGGGUCCUUCCUUCUGCUGUGAACCUUCUUGCUUGAUUUAGCCCCCUUCGCCUGCCUUUCCCAGCGCCCUGAGGUUUCUUUCCCUCCCUCUCCUUUAUCCCCCUUUCUGUCAGCUCUGAGUUACAAUGAUCCACAUCUGUGCCUGUCUCCCUCAUAGACUGGCCUCCUGGGUGCUCUUCCUGCCCAUCUGUACCCCACAGAUGCCUCUAUUGCUCCAGCUCUGCCUGCUGGACACUCCUGAGCUCCUGGCUGUUGGCAAUGCCAUUGGGUGUAAUUGCCAUCGGGGACGCUGGACUGGCACCUGCCCUGGGCCACACAGUGCUUCUCUCCUACUUAUUACCUCAUAUAAGGGGAACCCAAAUGACAAUUGGGACCAUUCCUUGGCCUCUCGGAGGAAAAUGGAUUCCAAUCAAACUCUCUUCCCAGGGCUGUGGGGGACCCCGAGCUCCUGGGCUCCCGGGAAGCACAGGCAGAGGGCUUCUAUUUCCCUGGCUCCUCCUGAUGCUGCUCAGUGACUUCAGAUGGGGGUCACUUCACUGGCUCUUUUCCAAAGGCAGAGUGGUGGCCCUAAUCCCUUCCCCAACAAAAUGCCACUGUCACCCACCUAGAGGGUUGUCUCAGGAGCCCACUUUCCCUGAAGGUUCAGAGUGAGGGGAGGUUGCCAUCAGAGGCAGAAUCUGCCCAGUCCUGAACACCAGCCACCCCUGCUCUGGGCCCUCAGUCCCCCCAGCAGCCUGUUUCUGCAGCUCCGCCCGCCCCACGCUGCUGGGUGCCACCUCUGCUCUCGCCAUCUCAAUGUCCUCGCUGUCACUGGUCCAAACCCUCAGGGCCCUGUUCACUACCCACACAGGACAGUCUAGCUGGUCACUGUCUUGCUCCCAGAGACCUCCCCCGUCACCUGAAGCCACCGUCCAGGUGUUGGCCCAGCAGCCACAAUCCUCUCUCCUUGCAGUAGCCCCGGCCUUGAGGGGCAAAGAGCAACUCUUUCCACCCCCUUGGCCUCACGAAGCCCCAGGAGACAUUCUCCCCUGAGCCUGGGAGGUGACCGGGAUUUCACAGAAGCCAGGGGUGGUCCAUCAUGAGACCCGACUCCAGCUGAGACGUGUGGGUCCCAGAGUUGGCCUCACGGCCUCUCCUCCCGUCUGCUUCCAGCUCCCUGGGAUGAUCAUUUUUGGAGCAACGCUCGCUGUAUAUGUUGUUAUCAGGGUCUUAGCGAACAGAAAUGCUUCCAGUCAGGUGAGUUGUGGGCCUCCUGAGUGGGUGGAGAGACCCCAGCUAGGAGAACGCUAGAGGGGUCUACAGAGCCUCCUCCCUGCCCGGGGGUUGGAGGGCCCUGACACCUAUGGGCUCAGCACCUGCCUGUCUCCUUUCAUCCUUAGUGAUGUGUCUUGUGUGCGCCUGUUUUUCAGGAGGAAAUGAAUGACAGAAAUGACCAUUGAAGAUACCAGUCCGACUCCUAGCCCCCUAGAUACGAAAACUGAGAUCAAAUAUGCAGAUCAGCAAAAAGAGGACCUGCCUCUUCUCUGCCUCCAUAACCUGAUUCCUUUCUUUCCUGACAAGCUGAGGGCAAGGUCUCCCCCAGCUCACACCCUGCACUGCACCUUUGAAUUCAACCCAAUGAGUCACAUUUUUCUUCUGUUAAAGGGAGAGGGAUUUCACAUUAAUUUUAGCACCAAGGUCUUCCUUAAGGAGUGUGUUCCUAUAUGCUUAUGGGGGGACAUCUUUGUGCAGGCUUUGUGCACACAUGUGUCUGUAAUUCUCUGCCUUGGGCUUGUGGGUAAGGUGGAAAAUAUCUAGGCACCCAUCUUCUU
rnacentral:lncRNA from 1 species